rnacentral:rRNA from 1 species
CUGGUCGAGUCGGCCUGCGCGGAAGAUGUAACGGGGCUAAACCAUGCACCGAAGCUGCGGCAGCGACGCUUAUGCGUUGUUGGGUAGGGGAGCGUUCUGUAAGCCUGUGAAGGUGUGCUGUGAGGCAUGCUGGAGGUAUCAGAAGUGCGAAUGCUGACAUAAGUAACGAUAAAGCGGGUGAAAAGCCCGCUCGCCGGAAGACCAAGGGUUCCUGUCCAACGUUAAUCGGGGCAGGGUGAGUCGACCCCUAAGGCG